GUUUCCGCCCUUUAGUGCUGAAGUUAACGCAUUAAGCACUCCGCCUGGGGAGUACGGCCGCAAGGCUGAAACUCAAAGGAAUUGACGGGGGCCCGCACAAGCGGUGGAGCAUGUGGUUUAAUUCGAAGCAACGCGAAGAACCUUACCAGGUCUUGACAUCCUCUGAAAACCCUAGAGAUAGGGCUUCUCCUUCGGGAGCAGAGUGACAGGUGGUGCAUGGUUGUCGUCAGCUCGUGUCGUGAGAUGUUGGGUUAAGUCCCGCAACGAGCGCAACCCUUGAUCUUAGUUGCCAUCAUUAAGUUGGGCACUCUAAGGUGACUGCCGGUGACAAACCGGAGGAAGGUGGGGAUGACGUCAAAUCAUCAUGCCCCUUAUGACCUGGGCUACACACGUGCUACAAUGGACGGUACAAAGAGCUGCAAGACCGCGAGGUGGAGCUAAUCUC
rnacentral:rRNA from 3 species